AUUGAACGCUAGCGGGAUGCUUUACUCAUGCAAGUCGAACGGCAGCGCGGACUUCGGUCUGGCGGCGAGUGGCGAACGGGUGAGUAAUGUAUCGGAACGUGCCCAGUAGCGGGGGAUAACUACGCGAAAGCGUAGCUAAUACCGCAUACGCCCUACGGGGGAAAGCAUGGGAUCGUAAGACCUUGCACUAUUGGAGCGGCCGAUAUCGGAUUAGCUAGUUGGUGAGGUAACGGCUCACCAAGGCGACGAUCCGUAGCUGGUUUGAGAGGACGACCAGCCACACUGGGACUGAGACACGGCCCAGACUCCAACGGGAGGCAGCAGUGGGGAAUUUUGGACAAUGGGGGCAACCCUGAUCCAGCCAUCCCGCGUGUGCGAUGAAGGCCUUCGGGUUGUAAAGCACUUUUGGCAGGAAAGAAACGUCGCGGGCUAAUACCCCGUGGAACUGACGGUACCUGCAGAAUAAGCACCGGCUAACUACGUG
rnacentral:rRNA from 1 species